CUCUUAUCCCGAGUUGGCGGAGGGACAGGCCCGAUGAAACCCAGCAACCUGCUAUUAUUAAACUUGACUCAUCUGAAUGGUUUGGAUGUUAUAACAAGUGGAAUUUUAGCGAUGGUGCUAACCUGAUGCAAGGCUAAGAAACCCUUGAACGAUAAGAG
rnacentral:ncRNA from 2 species